AGGUGCGAUCAUACCAGCACUAAUGCACCGGAUCCCAUCAGAACUCCGCAGCUAAGCGUGGUUGGGCGAGAGUAGUACUAGGAUGGGUUACCUCCUGGGAAGUCCUCGUGUUGCACUUC
rfam:Phaseolus vulgaris cultivar G19833 chromosome 6, whole genome shotgun sequence.